GACGAACGCUGGCGGCGUGCCUAAUACAUGCAAGUAGAACGCAGUUGCGAACGGGUGAGUAACGCGUAUGUAACUGCCUGGUAUCGGGGGAUAACUAUUGGAAACGAUAGCUAAUACCGCAUACUACCAGAUGGACCUGCGUUGUAUUAGCUAGUUUGUGAGGUAACGGCACACCAAGGCAACGAUACAUAACCGACCCUGCAGGGUGAACGGCCAAACUGGGACUGGUACCCGGCCCAGAAUCCUUCCGGGUGCAGCCGUAGGGAAUCAUCGGAAAUGGGGGGAACCCUGACCGAGCACCGCCGCGUGAGUUAAGAAGGUUUUCGGAUCUUAAAGCUCUUUUGUUAAUGAAGCGGUACCUACCCAGAAAGGGACGGCUAACUCCGUGCCAGCAGCCGCGGUAAUAC
rnacentral:rRNA from 1 species